GUACGUACUAGUUUAUUGGUUUCUCUCUUCUGACGAACCAUGAUGUCAUUAAUUUGGUGUCAUGUGGAAUCAGAACUGUUACUUUGAAAAAAUUAGAGUGUUUAAAGCAGGCUCACGCUUGAAUACAUUAGCAUGGAAUAAUGAAAUAGGACGUUUGAUUCUAUUUUGUUGGUUUCUAGGAUUGACGUAAUGAUUAAUAGGGAUAGUUGGGGGCAUUAGUAUUCAAUUGUCAGAGGUGAAAUUCUUGGAUUUAUUGAAGACUAACUACUGCGAAAGCAUUUGCCAAGGAUGUUUUCAUUAAUCAAGAACGAAAGUUAGGGGAUCGAAGACGAUCAGAUACCGUCGUAGUCUUAACCAUAAACUAUGCCGACUAGGGAUCGGAUGAUGUUAAUUUAAUGACUCAUUCGGCGCCUUACG
rnacentral:rRNA from 1 species